AGAUUGGGUCCUACGCAACGAAUGCUCAUGAACCGUGUCAGGUCUUGACGGAAGCAGCACUAAGUGAGAAGUUUCGUGUGCCGUGGGAGUGCCUGGUUGGAGC
rnacentral:SRP_RNA from 1 species